rnacentral:ncRNA from 18 species
UCACAUAUGAUUGGGUUAGGUGUCUAUUGACUUAAUAGAGAAUUUGGUAUAAGCCAAAGCGGUCACGCCACUGUAACAGCGAGGUACUUUGCAUAGAGGGUGAAAUGCUCUCGGUCACUGAAGUUUUUGGGAAGGCGCAAAGUAACGUUGAACUGGAGCCAGGAGAACUGCCUAAUUAACAAUUGCCAAU